rnacentral:rRNA from 1 species
UGGGGAAUAUUGCACAAUGGGGGAAACCCUGAUGCAGCGAUGCCGCGUGAAGGACGAAGAUUUUCGGAUCGUAAACUUCUAUCAGCAAGGAAGAAAACGGACAGUACUUGACUAAGCAGCCCCGGCUAACUACGUGCCAGCAGCCGCGGUAAUACGUAGGGGGCAAGCGUUAUCCGGAAUUACUGGGUGUAAAGGGUGCGUAGGCGGCAUCGCAAGUCAGUUGUGAAACCCAAGGGCUCAACCCUUGGCUUGCAAUUGAAACUGCGGAGCUAGAGUACAGGAGAGGAAAGCGGAAUUCCUAGUGUAGCGGUGAAAUGCGUAGAUAUUAGGAAGAACACCAGUGGCGAAGGCGGCUUUCUGGACUGAAACUGACGCUGAGGCACGAAAGCGUGGGGAGCAAACAGG